GAACCGGGGGAACUGAAACAUCUAAGUACCCCGAGGAAAAGAAAUCAACCGAGAUUCCCCCAGUAGCGGCGAGCGAACGGGGAGGAGCCCAGAGCCUGAAUCAGUGUGUGUGUUAGUGGAAGCGUCUGGAAAGGCGCGCGAUACAGGGUGACAGCCCCGUACACAAAAAUGCACAUGCUGUGAGCUCGAUGAGUAGGGCGGGACACGUGGUAUCCUGUCUGAAUAUGGGGGGACCAUCCUCCAAGGCUAAAUACUCCUGACUGACCGAUAGUGAACCAGUACCGUGAGGGAAAGGCGAAAAGAACCCCGGCGAGGGGAGUGAAAAAGAACCUGAAACCGUGUACGUACAAGCAGUGGGAGCACGCUUCGGCGUGUGACUGCGUACCUUUUGUAUAAUGGGUCAGCGACUUAUAUUCUGUAGCAAGGUUAACCGAAUAGGGGAGCCGAAGGGAAACCGAGUCUUAACUGGGCGUUAAGUUGCAGGGUAUAGACCCGAAACCCGGUGAUCUAGCCAUGGGCAGGUUGAAGGUUGGGUAACACUAACUGGAGGACCGAACCGACUAAUGUUGAAAAAUUAGCGGAUGACUUGUGGCUGGGGGUGAAAGGCCAAUCAAACCGGGAGAUAGCUGGUUCUCCCCGAAAGCUAUUUAGGUAGCGCCUCGUGAAUUCAUCUCCGGGGGUAGAGCACUGUUUCGGCAAGGGGGUCAUCCCGACUUACCAACCCGAUGCAAACU
rnacentral:rRNA from 1 species